AUGCUUCAGCAGCACAUAUUCUAAAAUUGGAAUGAUACAGAAAGAUUAGCAUGGCCCCGGGGCAAGAGUGACAUGCAAAUUUGUGAAGCAUUCCAUAUUUUU
rnacentral:snRNA from 1 species